CCGGGUCCAUCCACGUCUCUACAGAUGGCAUAGUUUUGUUGUCUUGGAAUGGAUUUUUAUAUUUAAAGUUUUGAUUUUGAUUUCUUCGGAGAGCGAUGCAAUUUAAUGGAAAACAGCAAUGCUUUUAUCUUACUAACUUCAUUACCACAAGUGGUUACAUGAGAAGGAAGUUGGACGCUGAGCACAGAGGAAAGGCCAUGUUUUGAUGACCCAGAGAGAAGGUAGCUGACUGCCAGCCAGGACAGGAGGUCUCACCGGAAACCAAGCCUGGCACAUCAGUCUUAGACAUCUAACCUUCAGAAAUAUGAGAAAAAAUGUCUGUUGUUUAAGCUACCCAGUCUGUAGCAUCUUGUUAUGGCAGUCCAAGCAGACAACAGAUGUAUUAAUCUUCACCAGUAUCCCAUAGCCCUCUGACCUUAGACAUGACCAGAGGUUUGAUCUAUGAAGCAGGAGCAGGAGCAACAUCUGUGAGCCAUGGUUAUAGAACAUUAUUAAUCAGGACAUCUCACACUUUUACUGGUGUCAGUGCUGUGAAGACUCAACCCUUAUUUCAGUAAAACAGCUCAAGCCAUCUCCAGCUUGCUGAAGUCAACCUUCAUAACACAAUGGCCUUAAAGUGUGUAUAGGAGGAUAUAUACCCCAGGAUAACCAGGAAUCACUUGGAAAUUAAAGACAGUAAUGGUGUACUU